GGCGUACGGGUGAGUAACACGUGGGCAACUUGCCCUAGAGACCGGGAUACCCUCUCGAAAGGGAGGCUAAUACCGGAUACGUUCUUCGGGUCGCAAGAUCUGGAGAGGAAAGGUGGCGCAAGCUACCGCUCUUGGAGAGGCUCGCGGCCUAUCAGCUAGUUGGUGAGGUAAUGGCUCACCAAGGCUAUGACGGGUAGCUGGUCUGAGAGGACGACCAGCCACACGGGAACUGAGACACGGUCCCGACUCCUACGGGAGGCAGCAGUGGGGAAUUUUCCGCAAUGGGCGAAAGCCUGACGGAGUGACGCCGCGUGGGGGACGAAGGCCUUCGGGUUGUAAACCCCUGUCAGAGGGAAAGAAGGGUGUCGGCGUGAUAACCGCCGGCACUUGACGGUACCUUCAGAGGAAGCCCCGGCCAACUCUGUGCCAGCAGCCGCGGUAAGACAGAGGGGGCAAGCGUUGCUCGGAAUCACUGGGCGUAAAGGGCGCGUAGGCGGGAUGGCAAGUCGGUCGUGAAAUCUCUCGGCUCAACCGAGAAACGUCGGCCGAUACUGCCGUUCUUGAGGGAUGCAGAGGAGACUGGAAUUCCCGGUGUAGCGGUGAAAUGUGUAGAGAUCGGGAGGAACACCGGUGGCGAAGGCGGGCCUCUGGGCAUUUCCUGACGCUGAGGCGCGAAAGCGUGGGGAGCAAACGGGAUUAGAUACCCCGGUAGUCC
rnacentral:rRNA from 1 species